rfam:Hordeum vulgare subsp. vulgare, WGS project CAJW01000000 data, contig: morex_contig_2552722
AUUAUACUCCCUCCGUCUGAAAAUACUUGUCAGAGAAAUGAAUGUAUCUAGAUGCAUUUUAGUUCUAGAUACAUUCAUUUUUAUACAUUUUAUGACAAGUAAUUCCGGACGGAGGGAGUAUCAG